rnacentral:rRNA from 1 species
AUUGAACGCUGGCGGCAUGCUUUACACAUGCAAGUCGAACGGCAACACGGGGGCAACCCUGGUGGCGAGUGGCGAACGGGUGAGUAAUACAUAGGAACGUAUCCUGAAAUGGGGGAGUAGCUCGGCGAAAGCCGGAUUAAUACCGCAUACGAUCUACGGAUGAAAGCAGGGGAUUCGCAAGAACCUUGCGUUUCUGGAGCGGCCUAUGUCUGAUUAGCUAGUUGGCGGGGAAAAGCCCACCAAGGCGACGAUCAGUAGCUGGUCUGAGAGGAUGAUCAGCCACACUGGGAC